UACGUAGGGCGCAAGCGUUUGUCCGGAAUUAUUGGGCGUAAAGAGCUCGUAGGCGGUCUGUUACGUCUGCUGUGAAAACCCGGGGCUUAACCCUGGGCUUGCAGUGGAUACGGGCAGACUAGAGGCAGGUAGGGGAGAAUGGAAUUCCCGGUGUAGCGGUGAAAUGCGCAGAUAUCGGGAGGAACACCGGUGGCGAAGGCGGUUCUCUGGGCCUGACCUGACGCUGAGGAGCGAAAGCGUGGGGAGCGAACAGG
rnacentral:rRNA from 1 species